rnacentral:lncRNA from 1 species
UUUGGGUCUUGUUCCACGCUGUGGAAGGUUUGUUCUUCGCAAUAAAUUUUGCUGCUGCUCACUCUUUGGGUCUGCACUGCAUUUAUGAUGUGUAACACUCACUGUGAAGGUCUGCAGCUUCACUUCUGAGGCCAGCGAGACCAGAAACCCACUGGGAGGAAUGAGCAACUUUGGAUGGGAGGAACGAACAACUGCAGAUGUGCCGCCCUCAGAGCUGUAGCACAGUGAACGUCUGCGGCUUCGCUCCUGAAGCCAGCGAGAUCACGAACCCACCAGAAGACAAAAUCUCUGAACACGUCCGAACAUUAGAAGGAAUGGACUCCGGACACGCCUUUUUUUUUUUUUUUUGAGACAGUGUUUUUCUCUGUCGCCCAGGCUGGAGUGUAGUGCAAUCUCGACUCACUGCAAGCUCUGCCUCUCGGGUUCAUGCCAUUCUCCUGCCUCAGCCUCCAGAGCAGCUGGGACUACAGGCGCCCGCUGCCACGCCCGGCUGAAUUUUUUUGUAUUUUUAGUGGAGACGGGGUCUCACGGUGUUAGCCAGGAUGGUCUCGAUCUUCUCAUCUGCCCGCCUGGGCCUCCCAAAGUGCGGGGAUUACAGGCGUGAACCACCGUGCCCAGCCACUCUUUAAGAACUGUAGCAGUCACCGCGAGGGUCCGCGGCUUCAUUCUGGAAGCCAUUGAGACUGAGAACCCGCCAAUUCCGGACACAAUUUCAUAGUACAUCAGUAUGGUCCAAUACAGGUACCUCCUCAGGAAACUCUGAAAAAGAAGAAGUAGAAAUAGUAUGAGACAAGAAACAGUCAUAUUCCAAAGCAUCUUGCUCUGUCGCCCAUGCUGGAAUGCAGUGGAGCCAUCUCUGCUCACUGCAACCUCUGCUCCCUGGGUUCAAGCAAUUCUGCUUCAGUUUCCGGAGUAGCUGGGAUUAGAGG